CUGAAAUCCGGGCCGGCGGCGGCAGUAAUACGGAAGGUCCGGGCUGUAUCCGGAUUUAUUUGGUUUAAAGGGAGCGUAGGCCGGAGAUUAAGCGUGUUGUGAAAUGUAGAUGCUCAACAUCUGCACUGCAGCGCGAACUGGUUUCCUUGAGUACGCACAAAGUGGGCGGAAUUCGUGGUGUAGCGGUGAAAUGCUUAGAUAUCACGAAGAACUCCGAUUGCGAAGGCAGCUCACUGGAGCGCAACUGACGCUGAAGCUCGAAAGUGCGGGUAUCGAACAGGAUUAGAUACCCUAGUAGUC
rnacentral:rRNA from 1 species